rnacentral:lncRNA from 1 species
UCAGGAAACUGUGGCAUGAUGUGCUGGCCAUGUAGGUCUUAGCAGCGUUGUUUCCUUACGGCUCUUCACGUGCAUCACAGCCAGGACAGCCCAGAAUCUUCCUCGUCUUGCUCUUGAGACUUAUGUUUCUCUCCUAGAAGACCCAUCUUCAAAAGAGAGACAAGCAAUCUUCUGCCAAGCAAAUGACCGAUUUAUCAAAUGGCCAAAUCUGGAGACUCGUGGAUUUUUCUGAAUGGACAUUUUAUAAG